GCCCGGGUGGCUCAGGUGGUUGAGCGUCUGACUCUUGAUUUUGACUCAGGUUACGAUCCCAGGGUUGUGGGAUCGAGCCCCACGUCGGGCU
rnacentral:tRNA from 1 species